GAUGAACGCUGGCGGCGUGCCUAAUACAUGCAAGUCGAGCGAACAGAUGAGGAGCUUGCUCCUCUGACGUUAGCGGCGGACGGGUGAGUAACCCGUGGAUAACCUACCUAUAAGACUGGGAUAACUUCGGGAAACCGGAGCUAAUACCGGAUAAUAUAUUGAACCGCAUGGUUCAAUAGUGAAUGACGGUUUUGCUGUCACUUAUAGCUGGAUCCGCGCCGCAUUAGCUAGUUGGUAAGGUAACGGCUUACCAAGGCAACGAUGCGUAGCCGACCUGAGAGGGUGAUCGGCCACACUGGAACUGAGACACGGUCCAGACUCCUACGGGAGGCAGCAGUAGGGAAUCUUCCGCAAUGGGCGAAAGCCUGACGGAGCAACGCCGCGUGAGUGAUGAAGGUCUUCGGAUCGUAAAACUCUGUUAUUAGGGAAGAACAAAUGUGUAAGUAACUAUGCACGUCUUGACGGUACCUAGUCAGAGAGCCACGGCUAACUACGUG
rnacentral:rRNA from 1 species